rnacentral:tRNA from 1 species
UCCAGGGUAGCCGAGUGGAUAAGGCACCUGCCCGGUAAGCAGAAGGGUGUGGGUUCGAUUCCCGCCCCUGGAC